rnacentral:rRNA from 1 species
CCUACGGGCGGCAGCAGUGGGGAAUAUUGCACAAUGGGGGAAACCCUGAUGCAGCGACGCCGCGUGAGUGAAGAAGUAAUUCGUUAUGUAAAGCUCUAUCAGCAGGGAAGAAAAUGACGGUACCUGAGUAAGAAGCCCCGGCGAACUACGUGCCAGCAGCCGCGGUAAUACGUAGGGGGCAAGCGUUAUCCGGAUUUACUGGGUGUAAAGGGAGCGUAGACGGCAGUGCAGGUCUGGCGUGAAAGGCGGGGGCUCAACCCCCGGACUGCUCUGGAAACUGUACGGCUUGAGUGCAGGAGAGGUAAGUGGAAUUCCUAGUGUAGCGGUGAAAUGCGUAGAUAGUAGGAGGAACACCAGUGGCGAAGGCGGCUUACUGGACUGUAACUGACGUUGAGGCUCGAAAGCGUGGGGAGCAAACAGGAUUAGAUACCCGUGUAGUC